GCAUAGAACAUUCUCAGAAUGCCAAGAAAAUAUGCUUUAAAUUUGCAAAAAUAUGCUCAAAUGCAAAUGCAAAUACCUAAGAAUACAAUUCCAUUUGAUAAAUAGUUAUCUUAAACAUCAAUCAUAUACAAUGUUGAAUUUAAAUUUCACUUUGACGAUCAAUUAUUAACAGAUUUGACUUAUUGUAUGCCCCCAGUUGCUAUAUUUAUGCUAAAAUGUGUGUUCCGGUUAAUAGCAUAUUCCUGUUAUUAGCAUAAUUUUGGCUGACAUGGUAUGCUAAGAACAGGAUUCCACUGUAGCAACAUAUUAAUCAGGAAUUAUGGUUUGAAUCCGUGAACUAUUAUUUUUAAUGGUGAAAGAAAAUCUCCAUGACGCGUUUUCAAAAAUUCCUAAUCAAGCUUGGUAAAAGAGCACACAGAAUAGCAAAUUUAUUACAGCGCCAACUUACGGGUAAAAAUGAUUGAUUUUUUUUAUAUUCCGUAAAGACAAAUGCCGCAUCAUAUCCUAUGGGUGAUUUAAAAAUUAAUGAAGCCUAAAUAAAACAUGCAUUUAUUUUCUUACCAUUAAGCAUGUUUGAGUUCUUUUUCUAUCUUACAGAAGUGUUUCCAUGUGAUUAACUUAAAUGUGAAAAUUCUUCUCAAUAACUUUCUUCAUUAACAAAAUAUAUUGAAAAAUAUCCUUAAAAUUGCCCCAAGUGUACUGGUUUUGCGUGACAUUUUAUGUAAAAGGCAAUUUUCAAUUCUAUACUUCAAUAAAACUUUCAGAAAUAUUAGGUAUUGCCAUCAUUUAAUGAAUAUAAAAAUUCAUAUGCUUUAAGAAAAAUAAAACAAUGCUUCUUACUUAGGUUGAUAUCUUUUGUAGCAAGUGUUCAAAGCAAUGAUGUUCUUGUCAAUUUUGUGCCACAAUUUUCAACUCUCUUCAUGUAUAUUAAGAGAUGGGAUCAUAAAGUGCUUCAAUAUUUAUAGGCAAAAAGUGUCCUUUUAACCUGUCACAUGUUUUUUCUACACAUUUGUACAGGUAUUUAUACAAUUAUUUGUUCAUGUAAAUUUUGAACAGCUGAAUACUAAAUGUGGUCAGAAUUUGUCCCUGUCACAAGUGUACAUUUUGCAAGAAAGUUAUUUUAAAUUUUUCAUAAGAUAGAAUUUUCAAGGUUUUACAUCAUUUUCUUCAAACCAUUAAUGCUUAUCACUAGAUGUACUGAAAAUUUGAUGCCAAAACCUUGUGAACUUUUUUUGCAAGACAAAUAUUGCAUUGUACCAAGUGUACGAAUUUUUUAUCAUGUUUGAUGGACAGGUGAUAGCUUUUAAAAAAUAAACAAAGGCACUAAUUUUCUGGAAAGAAGUACACAGAAGAUGUAAUCUCCAAGAGAAAAAGGUGUUGUCUUCACUCUGGGGGUUAACUACUCUUAUUAUAUGGGUGGACUUCAAUAUGUAUGAUCUACUUAUGCUGCCACAAUGUAAAGGCAACAAUCACUGGGUUUUGCUGUUUGCAAGUGUUAUGUCCAGGACUGUAACCAUUUACGACUCGUUGGGUGGUAACAACAAGGCAUUGUUCGAUUUGUUCUGCCAGUUCAUGUGUCAACGAGCGCAAAUUGUGAACGAUGGCUUGGAAAAAAUUCAGUUCAGAGUUCAAAGCGCCACCUUGCAACAAACAGCGCCAUGGAAACAGCUGUGGAGUGUUUGCAUUGAUGACUGCCAAAUGUAUGGUCAUGAAAAAGCAUCCCACAAUGUUGCGACAGGCCCAUGAUUCAGCUUAUCAAGACUAGUCGUGAGACGCAGACUUCUGAUUCAUGGAGUGCGGCAAACAUAUCUGUGUGACUCGAUCACUCCACUGUAAAGACCCGCACGGCAUUAAAAUGGAUAUUAUCAAUAUGUGUUGUUGCUCGAAAAUAUGUUUUGUAGCAGGAAGUGCUUUGGGCUCGAUUAAUCUGAGAACUCAACAAAAUAUUAAUAAAAUCCUUCUGUGCCUUUUAGUUCUGAAAACAGAAGUAGCCAGUUGGUAUUACACAUCUCCUAAACAAGUACAGCACAAUAAAACUGAAGGUUUUAAAUCCUACAUUU